GUGCUCGCUUUGGCAGCACAUAUACUAAAAUUGGAACGACACAGAGAAGAUUAGCAUGGCCCCAGCACAAGGAUGACACGCAAAUUUGUGAAGUGUUCCAUAUUUUU
ensembl:snRNA U6 U6 spliceosomal RNA